UACGUAGGGACCAAGCGUUGUUCGGAUUUACUGGGCGUAAAGGGCGCGUAGGCGGCAUAUUAAGUCAGCUGUGAAAUCUCCGAGCUUAACUCGGAAACUGUCAGCUGAUACUGAUGUGCUAGAGUGCAGAAAGGGCAAUCAGAAUUCUUGGUGUAGCGGUGAAAAUGCGUAGAUAUCAGGAGGAAACACCAAUGGCGAAGGCAGCUCGCUGGACGGUAACUGACGCUGAGACGACGAAAGCGUGGGGAGCAAACAGG
rnacentral:rRNA from 1 species